rnacentral:rRNA from 1 species
UACGUAGGGCGCGAGCGUUGUCCGGAAUUAUUGGGCGUAAAGAGCUCGUAGGUGGCUUGUUGCGUCUGCCGUGAAAGCCCGUGGCUUAACUACGGGUCUGCGGUGGAUACGGGCAGGCUAGAGGCUGGUAGGGGCAAGCGGAAUUCCUGGUGUAGCGGUGAAAUGCGCAGAUAUCAGGAGGAACACCUGCGGCGAAGGCGGGUUGCUGGGCUGAUACUGACGUGAGGCGCGAAAGCCAGGGGAGCGAACGGG